rnacentral:rRNA from 1 species
CCUACGGUGGACAGCAGUGAGGAAUAUUGGUCAAUGGGCGAGAGCCUGAACCAGCCAAGUCGCGUGAGGGAGUACUGCCCUAUGGGUUGUAAACCUCUUUUGUCGGGGAGCAAAAGCCGGACGUGUCCGGCUGUGAGAGUACCCGAAGAAAAAGCAUCGGCUAACUCCGUGCCAGCAGCCGCGGUAAUACGGAGGAUGCGAGCGUUAUCCGGAUUUAUUGGGUUUAAAGGGUGCGCAGGCGGAGUUUUAAGUCAGCGGUCAAAUCGUGGGGCUAAGCGGCAUCGAGCCUUUGAAACUGGGGAUCUAGAGUGUGGGAGAGGUAUGCGGAAUGCGUGGUGUAGCGGUGAAAUGCAUAGAUAUAACGCAGAACACCGAUUGCGAAGGCAGCAUACCGGUGCACAACUGACGCUGAGGCACGAAAGCGUGGGUAUCGAACAGGAUUAGAUACCCGGGUAGUC